GAGUUUGAUUAUGGCUCAGGACGAACGCUGGCGGCGUGCCUAAUACAUGCAAGUGGAACGCAUUGAUUUCACCGGAGCUUGCUCCACCGAAAUUAGUGAGUCGCGAACGGGUGAGUAACGCGUAGGUAACCUACCUCUUAGCGGGGGAUAACUAUUGGAAACGAUAGCUAAUACCGCAUAACAAUUGGAUACACAUGUACCCUAUUUAAAAGGAGCAACUGCUUCACUAAGAGAUGGACCUGCGUUGUAUUAGCUAGUUGGUAGGGUAACGGCCUACCAAGGCAUCGAUACAUAGCCGACCUGAGAGGGUGAUCGGCCACACUGGGACUGAGACACGGCCCAGACUCCUACGGGAGGCAGCAGUAGGGAAUCUUCGGCAAUGGGGGGAACCCUGACCGAGCAACCGCCGCGUGAGUGAAGAAGGUUUUCGGAUCGUAAAGCUACUGUUGUAAGAGAAGAACGUGUGAGA
rnacentral:rRNA from 1 species